GGGUGACAGCCCCGUACACAAAAGCGCAUGUGCUGUGAGCUCGAUGAGUAGGGCGGGACACGUGGUAUCCUGUCUGAAUAUGGGGGGACCAUCCUCCAAGGCUAAAUACUCCUGACUGACCGAUAGUGAACCAGUACCGUGAGGGAAAGGCGAAAAGAACCCCGGCGAGGGGAGUGAAAAAGAACCUGAAACCGUGUACGUACAAGCAGUGGGAGCCCCACCACCAAAGCAUUCUCUGGUGUUGAAGGCCCUGCAAAGCAGCAUCGCGGUGGCGGAGCGUCGUUUGCGACGCCCAACACACAAAACAAGCGGUGAGUGCUUUGGGGUGGGGUGACUGCGUACCUUUUGUAUAAUGGGUCAGCGACUUAUAUUCUGUAGCAAGGUUAACCGCAUAGGGGAGCCGGAGGGAAACCGAGUCUUAAUUGGGCGUUAAGUUGCAGGGUAUAGACCCGAAACCCGGUGAUCUAGCCAUGGGCAGGUUGAAGGUUGGGUAACACUAACUGGAGGACCGAACCGACUAAUGUUGAAAAAUUAGCGGAUGACCUGUGGCUGGGGGUGAAAGGCCAAUCAAACCGGGAGAUAGCUGGUUCUCCCCGAAAGCUAUUUAGGUAGCGCCUCGUGAAUUCAUCUCCGGGGGUAGAGCACUGUUUCGGCUAGGGGGCCAUCCCGGCUUACCAACCCGAUGCAAACUGCGAAUACCGGAGAAUGUUAUCACGGGAGACACACGGCGGGUGCUAACGUCCGUCGUGAAGAGGGAAACAACCCAGACCGCCAGCUAAGGUCCCAAAGUCAUGGUUAAGUGGGAAACGAUGUGGGAAGGCCCAGACAGCCAGGAUGUUGGCUUAGAAGCAGCCAUCAUUUAAAGAAAGCGUAAUAGCUCACUGGUCGAGUCGGCCUGCGCGGAAGAUGUAACGGGGCUAAACCAUGCACCGAAGCUGCGGCAGCGACACUCAGGUGUUGUUGGGUAGGGGAGCGUUCUGUAAGCCUGUGAAGGUGGCCUGUGAGGGUUGCUGGAGGUAUCAGAAGUGCGAAUGCUGACAUAAGUAACGAUAAAGCGGGUGAAAAGCCCGCUCGCCGGAAGACCAAGGGUUCCUGUCCAACGUUAAUCGGGGCAGGGUGAGUCGACCCCUAAGGCGAGGCCGAAAGGCGUAGUCGAUGGGAAACGGGUUAAUAUUCCCGUACUUGGUGUUACUGCGAAGGGGGGACGGAGAAGGCUAUGUUGGCCGGGCGACGGUUGUCCCGGUUUAAGCGUGUAGGUGUGUGUUCCAGGUAAAUCCGGUUCACUUUAACACUGAGGCGUGACGACGAGGCACUACGGUGCUGAAGCAACAAAUGCCCUGCUUCCAGGAAAAGCCUCUAAGCAUCAGGUAACAUCAAAUCGUACCCCAAACCGACACAGGUGGUCAGGUAGAGAAUACCAAGGCGCUUGAGAGAACUCGGGUGAAGGAACUAGGCAAAAUGGUGCCGUAACUUCGGGAGAAGGCACGCUGACACGUAGGUGAAGUGAUUUACUCAUGGAGCUGAAGUCAGUCGAAGAUACCAGCUGGCUGCAACUGUUUAUUAAAAACACAGCACUGUGCAAACACGAAAGUGGACGUAUACGGUGUGACGCCUGCCCGGUGCCGGAAGGUUAAUUGAUGGGGUCAGCGCAAGCGAAGCUCCUGAUCGAAGCCCCGGUAAACGGCGGCCGUAACUAUAACGGUCCUAAGGUAGCGAAAUUCCUUGUCGGGUAAGUUCCGACCUGCACGAAUGGCGUAAUGAUGGCCAGGCUGUCUCCACCCGAGACUCAGUGAAAUUGAACUCGCUGUGAAGAUGCAGUGUACCCGCGGCAAGACGGAAAGACCCCGUGAACCUUUACUAUAGCUUGACACUGAACAUUGAGCCUUGAUGUGUAGGAUAGGUGGGAGGCUUUGAAGUGUGGACGCCAGUCUGCAUGGAGCCGACCUUGAAAUACCACCCUUUAAUGUUUGAUGUUCUAACGUGGACCCGUAAUCCGGGUUGCGGACAGUGUCUGGUGGGUAGUUUGACUGGGGCGGUCUCCUCCUAAAGAGUAACGGAGGAGCACGAAGGUUGGCUAAUCCUGGUCGGACAUCAGGAGGUUAGUGCAAUGGCAUAAGCCAGCUUGACUGCGAGCGUGACGGCGCGAGCAGGUGCGAAAGCAGGUCAUAGUGAUCCGGUGGUUCUGAAUGGAAGGGCCAUCGCUCAACGGAUAAAAGGUACUCCGGGGAUAACAGGCUGAUACCGCCCAAGAGUUCAUAUCGACGGCGGUGUUUGGCACCUCGAUGUCGGCUCAUCACAUCCUGGGGCUGAAGUAGGUCCCAAGGGUAUGGCUGUUCGCCAUUUAAAGUGGUACGCGAGCUGGGUUUAGAACGUCGUGAGACAGUUCGGUCCCUAUCUGCCGUGGGCGCUGGAGAACUGAGGGGGGCUGCUCCUAGUACGAGAGGACCGGAGUGGACGCAUCACUGGUGUUCGGGUUGUCAUGCCAAUGGCACUGCCCGGUAGCUAAAUGCGGAAGAGAUAAGUGCUGAAAGCAUCUAAGCACGAAACUUGCCCCGAGAUGAGUUCUCCCUGAGACUUAGAGUCUCCUGAAGGAACGUUGAAGACGACGACGUUGAUAGGCCGGGUGUGUAAGCGCAGCGAUGCGUUGAGCUAACCGGUACUAAUGAACCGUGAGGCUUAACCUUACAACGCCGAAG
rnacentral:rRNA from 1 species